CGCGUAGGCGGGACGCCAAGUCGGUCGUGAAAUCUCCGGGCUCAACCCGGAGGAGUCGGCCGAAACUGGUGUUCUUGAGGGAGGCAGAGGAGUCUGGAAUUCCCGGUGUAGCGGUGAAAUGUGUAGAGAUCGGGAGGAACACCGGUGGCGAAGGCGGGACUCUGGGCCUACCCUGACGCUGAGGCGCGAAGGCGUGGGGAGCAAACG
rnacentral:rRNA from 1 species